rnacentral:rRNA from 1 species
UACGUAGACCUCAAGCGUUAUCCGAAUUUAUUGGGCGUAAAGAGCAUGUAGGAGGUCAUGUGCGUCUCACGUUAAAGCCCACCGCCUAACGGUGGAACUGCGUGGGAUACGACAUGACUAGAGGAGGUUAGAGGUGCAUAGAACGCACGGUGUAGGGGUGAAAUCCGUUGAUAUCGUGCGGAAUACCAAAGGCGAAGGCAGUGCACUGGGACUUUCCUGACUCUGAGAUGCGAAAGCGUGGGGAGCAAAAAGG